rnacentral:rRNA from 1 species
UAGAGUUUGAUCCUGGCUCAGAUUGAACGCUGGCGGCAUGCCUUACACAUGCAAGUCGAACGGCAGCAUGAUCUAGCUUGCUAGAUUGAUGGCGAGUGGCGAACGGGUGAGUAAUAUAUCGGAACGUGCCCAGUCGUGGGGGAUAACUGCUCGAAAGAGCAGCUAAUACCGCAUACGACCUGAGGGUGAAAGCGGGGGAUCGCAAGACCUCGCGCGAUUGGAGCGGCCGAUAUCAGAUUAGGUAGUUGGUGGGGUAAAGGCCCACCAAGCCAACGAUCUGUAGCUGGUCUGAGAGGACGACCAGCCACACUGGGACUGAGACACGGCCCAGACUCCUACGGGAGGCAGCAGUGGGGAAUUUUGGACAAUGGGCGCAAGCCUGAUCCAGCCAUGCCGCGUGCGGGAAGAAGGCCUUCGGGUUGUAAACCGCUUUUGUCAGGGAAGAAAAGGUUCUGGUUAAUACCUGGGACUCAUGACGGUACCUGAAGAAUAAGCACCGGCUAACUACGUGCCAGCAGCCCCGGUCA